rnacentral:rRNA from 1 species
UACGUAGGGGGCUAGCGUUGUCCGGAAUCAUUGGGCGUAAAGCGCGUGUAGGCGGUCCGGUAAGUCCGCUGUGAAAGUCGGGGGCUCAACCCUCGGAUGCCGGUGGAUACUGUCGGGCUCGAGUACGGAAGAGGCGAGUGGAAUUCCUGGUGUAGCGGUGAAAUGCGUAGAUAUCGGGAGGAACACCAGUGGCGAAGGCGACUUCCUGGCCUGUUCUUGACGCUGAGGCGCGAAAGCUAGGGGAGCAAACGGG